rnacentral:rRNA from 1 species
AUUGAACGCUGGCGGCAGGCUUAACACAUGCAAGUCGAGCGAGCGGCGGACGGGUGAGUAAUGUAUGGGGAACUGCCUGAUAGAGGGGGAUAACUACUGGAAACGGUGGCUAAUACCGCAUACUAUCGGAUGAACCCAUAUGGGAUUAGCUAGUAGGUGGGGUAAAGGCUCAACUAGGCGACGAUCCCUAGCUGGUCUGAGAGGAUGAACAGCCACACUGGGACUGAGACACGGCCCAGACUCCUACGGGAGGCAGCAGUGGGGAAUAUUGCACAAUGGGCGCAAGCCUGAUGCAGCCAUGCCGCGUGUAUGAAGAAGGCCUUCGGGUUGUAAAGUACUUUCAGCGGGGAGGCGUUACCCGCAGAAGAAGCACCGGCUAACUCCGUGCCAGCAGCCGCGGUAAUUC